UGCGCAGGCGGUUAUGUAAGACAGAGGUGAAAUCCCCGGGCUCAACCUGGGAACUGCCUUUGUGACUGCAUAGCUAGAGUACGGCAGAGGGGGAUGGAAUUCCGCGUGUAGCAGUGAAAUGCGUAGAUAUGCGGAGGAACACCGAUGGCGAAGGCAGUCCCCUGGGCCUGUACUGACGCUCAUGCACGAAAGCGUGGGGAGCAAACAGGAUUAGAUACCCUGGUAGUCCACGCCCUAAACGAUGUCAACUGGUUGUUGGGUCUUAGCUGACUCAGUAACGAAGCUAACGCGUGAAGUUGACCGCCUGGGGAGUACGGCCGCAAGGUUGAA
rnacentral:rRNA from 1 species